rnacentral:rRNA from 1 species
CAAUAGCGUAUAUUAAAGUUGUUGCAGUUAAAAAGCUCGUAGUUGGAUUUCUGGUGGGAGCGAUCGGUCUGGCGCUUAGCGCGAGUACUUGCAUCGUCUCCGGCCAUCCUUGGGGAGAGUCUGUCUGGCAUUAAGUUGUCGGGCAGAGGAUCCUCAUCGUUUACUGUGAAAAAAUUAGAGUGUUCAAAGCAGGCUUAUGCCGUUGAAUAUAUUAGCAUGGAAUAAUAAGAUAGGACUUUGGUACUAUUUUGUUGGUUUGCGCACCAAAGUAAUGAUUAAUAGGGACAGUUGGGGGUAUUCGUAUUCCGUCGUCAGAGGUGAAAUUCUUGGAUUUACGGAAGACGAACUACUGCGAAAGCAUUUACCAAGGAUGUUUUCAUUAA